rnacentral:rRNA from 1 species
UACGUAGGGUGCGAGCGUUAAUCGGAAUUACUGGGCGUAAAGGGCGCGUAGGCGGCCUGCUAAGUCGAACGUGAAAUCCCCGGGCUCAACCCGGGAACUGCGUCCGAUACUGGCAGGCUUGAAUUCGGGAGAGGGAUGUGGAAUUCCAGGUGUAGCGGUGAAAUGCGUAGAUAUCUGGAGGAACACCGGUGGCGAAGGCGGCAUCCUGGGACCGAGAUUGACGCUGAUGCGCGAAAGCCAGGGGAGCAAACGGG